AGGUUACUGCUAUCGGUGUUCGCCUAAGCCAUGCGAGUCAUAUGUUCUUCGUGAACAUGGCGUACUGCUCAGUAACACGUGGAUAACCUGCCCUUGGGUCCGGCAUAACCCCGGGAAACUGGGGAUAAUUCCGGAUAACGCACAUAUGCUGGAAUGCUUUAUGCGUCAAAUGGAUUCGUCCGCCCAAGGAUGGGUCUGCGGCCUAUCAGGUAGUAGUGGGUGUAAUGUACCUACUAGCCUACGACGGGUACGGGUUGUGAGAGCAAGAGCCCGGAGAUGGAUUCUGAGACAUGAAUCCAGGCCCUACGGGGCGCAGCAGGCGCGAAAACUUUACAAUGCGGGAAACCGUGAUAAGGGGACACCGAGUGCCAGCAUCAUAUGCUGGCUGUCCGGGUGUGUAAAAUACACCUGUUAGUAAGGGCCGGGCAAGACCGGUGCCAGCCGCCGCGGUAACACCGGCGGCCCGAGUGGUGAUCGUGAUUAUUGGGUCUAAAGGGUCCGUAGCCGGUUUGGUCAGUCCUCCGGGAAAUCUGACGGCUUAACCGUUAGGCUUUCGGGGGAUACUGCCAGACUUGGAACCGGGAGAGGUAAGAGGUACUACAGGGGUAGGAGUGAAAUCUUGUAAUCCCUGUGGGACCACCUGUGGCGAAGGCGUCUUACCAGAACGGGUUCGACGGUGAGGGACGAAAGCUGGGGGCACGAACCGGAUUAGAUACCCGGGUAGUCCCAGCCGUAAACGAUGCUCGCUAGGUGUCAGGCAUGGCGCGACCGUGUCUGGUGCCGCAGGGAAGCCGUGAAGCGAGCCACCUGGGAAGUACGGCCGCAAGGCUGAAACUUAA
rnacentral:rRNA from 1 species